ACCUCCCCCUCUCUUUCAAAAACUUCAGGAUAUUAGACAGAGGACACCCUCUUCCCAAUUCUAUUUGGCCUUGUAAUGGACACCCUUAGAAGGCUUAUAGAAAGAUAAUUUAGGGAAAAGAGGCUAGGUAAAUGGAGCCACAUCUAUUACCCACCUCAUGUAUGCAGAUGCUAUCCUAAUCUUCUUCAAGGCAAACACAAAGUCCCUAAAUUUUAUUAGGUUUAUUUUAGAGGAA
rnacentral:lncRNA from 1 species